UGGAUAUAGCUCAGUUGGUAGAGUACUUGCCUUGCAUGCACAAGGGGUACAUGCUGGGGUUCAAUCCCCAGCACCAA
rnacentral:tRNA from 1 species